AUAGCCAUCAUUGAAAUUCUC
rnacentral:snRNA from 1 species